AACGCACAUUGCGCCCAUUAGUAUUCUAGUGGGCAUGCCUGUUCGAGCGUCAUUUCAACCCUCAAGCCUUAGUUGCUUGGUGUUGGGAGCUUACCUUGCCGGAAGGCGGACAACUCCUUAAAACUAUUGGCGGAGUCGCGGUGACCCCAAGCGUAGUAAAUUAUUUUUCCCUCGCUUUAGGUGUUAACGCCGGCUUCUAGCCGUUAAACCCCCUAUUUUUUAGUGGUUGACCUCGGAUCAGGUAGGACUACCCGCUGAACUUAA
rnacentral:misc_RNA from 1 species